CAAAGGGUGUUGGUCGAUUA
rnacentral:snRNA from 1 species